AGAGUUUGAUCCUGGCUCAGAUUGAACGCUGGCGGCAGGCCUAACACAUGCAAGUCGAGCGGAUGAAGGGAGCUUGCUCCCUGAUUUAGCGGCGGACGGGUGAGUAAUGCCUAGGAAUCUGCCUGGUAGUGGGGGAUAACGUCCGGAAACGGGCGCUAAUACCGCAUACGUCCUACGGGAGAAAGCAGGGGACCUUCGGGCCUUGCGCUAUCAGAUGAGCCUAGGUCGGAUUAGCUAGUUGGUGAGGUAAUGGCUCACCAAGGCGACGAUCCGUAACUGGUCUGAGAGGAUGAUCAGUCACACUGGAACUGAGACACGGUCCAGACUCCUACGGGAGGCAGCAGUGGGGAAUAUUGGACAAUGGGCGAAAGCCUGAUCCAGCCAUGCCGCGUGUGUGAAGAAGGUCUUCGGAUUGUAAAGCACUUUAAGUUGGGAGGAAGGGCAUUAACCUAAUACGUUAGUGUUUUGACGUUACCGACAGAAUAAGCACCGGCUAACUUCGUGCCAGCAGCCGCGGUAAUACGAAGGGUGCAAGCGUUAAUCGGAAUUACUGGGCGUAAAGCGCGCGUAGGUGGUUCGUUAAGUUGGAUGUGAAAGCCCCGGGCUCAACCUGGGAACUGCAUCCAAAACUGGCGAGCUAGAGUACGGUAGAGGGUGGUGGAAUUUCCUGUGUAGCGGUGAAAUGCGUAGA
rnacentral:rRNA from 1 species